GGGGUUGUGGCUCAGUGGUUGAGCGCUUGCCUCGCAUGCAGAGGUACUGGGUUCGAUCCUCAGCACCA
rnacentral:tRNA from 1 species